CGCGUAGGCGGGAUGGCAAGUCGGUCGUGAAAUCCCUCGGCUCAACCGAGGAGCGUCGGCCGAUACUGCCGUUCUUGAGGGAUGCAGAGGAGACUGGAAUUCCCGGUGUAGCGGUGAAAUGUGUAGAGAUCGGGAGGAACACCGGUGGCGAAGGCGGGUCUCUGGGCAUCUCCUGACGCUGAGGCGCGAAAGCGUGGGGAGCAAACG
rnacentral:rRNA from 1 species